UGCCCUACGGGGGGCAGCAGUGGGGAAUAUUGCACAAUGGGGGAAACCCUGAUGCAGCGACGCCGCGUGAGUGAAGAAGCGUUUCGGCGCGUAAAGCUCUGUCAGCGGGGAAGAAACACGGUUCGCGAGAGCCGCGGACGGUACCCGACCAAGAAGCCCCGGCUAACUACGUGCCAGCAGCCGCGGUAAUACGUAGGGGGCAAGCGUUAUCCGGAUUUACUGGGUGUAAAGGGAGCGUAGACGGAAAGGCAAGUCAGAAGUGAAAACCCAAGGCUCAACCAUGGGACAGCU
rnacentral:rRNA from 1 species